AUUGAACGCUGGCGGCAGGCCUAACACAUGCAAGUCGAACGAGUGGCGGACGGGUGAGUAAUGUCUGGGAAACUGCCUGAUGGAGGGGGAUAACUACUGGAAACGGUAGCUAAUACCGCAUACCAUCGGAGGAGCCCAGAUGGGAUUAGCUAGUAGGUGGGGUAAAGGCUCACCAAGGCGACGAUCCCUAGCUGGUCUGAGAGGAAGACCAGCCACCCUGUGACUGAGACACUGUCCAGACUCCUACGGGAGGCAGCAGUGGGUAAUAUUGCACAAUGGGCGCAAGCCGUAUCCAGCCAUGCCGCGUGUAUGAAGACGGCCUUCGGGUUGUAAAGUACUUUCAGCGGUGAGGCGUUACCCGCAGAAGAAGCACCGGCUAACUCCGUGCCAGCCGCCGCGGUAAUAC
rnacentral:rRNA from 1 species